GAUGAAGAACGUAGAGAAAUGCGAUACUUGGUGUGAAUUGCAGAAUCCCGUGAACCAUCGAGUCUUUGAACGCAAGUUGCGCCCGAAGCCACUAGGCCGAGGGCACGCCUGCCUGGGCGUCACACGCCGUUGCCCCCCCAUCUACUCCUUCGGGAUUGCGGGGGGGCGGAUGAUGGCCUCCUGUGCGCCUAGCCGCGCGGUUGGCAUAAAUACCAAGUCCUCGGCGACGCACGCCACGACAAUCGGUGGUUGCGAAACCUCGGUUGCCCGUCGUGUGCGUUCGUCGCGCAUCGAGGGCUCGAAAAAAUGCUCGGCUCCGGCUGGGCUUUCAACGCGACCCCAGGUCAGGCGGGGUUACCCGCUGAAUUUAAGCAUAUCAAUAAGCGGAGGA
rnacentral:misc_RNA from 1 species